rnacentral:tRNA from 1 species
GGAAGCGCAUGGGGCCUGGUGGCUCUCGCGGACUUCAAAUCCGUCGGCGUCGCGGCUCAGCCGGGAUGGGUGGGUUCGAUUCCCACACGCUUCCGCCA